rnacentral:misc_RNA from 1 species
GAUGAAGAACGCAGCGAAAUGCGAUACGUAAUGUGAAUUGCAGAAUUCCGUGAAUCAUCGAAUCUUUGAACGCACCUUGCGCCUCUUGGUAUUCCGAGGGGCAUGCCUGUUUGAGUGUCAUUGAAUCCUCAAAAGGGAAGCUUCACCGUUUCUCUUUUGGAAUUGGGGUGUGCUGGCCUUUUUUUGAUGAAGCCCAGCUCCUCUGAAAUACAUUAGCGAUGUGACAUCCGCAUGCACCACGCUUCUCUGGCAUUGAUAGUAUCUUCAUGCUCGGGGCGGGAUCUGCAGCUGUGGAAAGCUUUGCUCGCUCACAACCGAUGGUGUGGAGAGGUGCCUUUGUCCCUCUCCACCGAUCCUCUGACCAAUAUAACCUCAAAUCAGGUAGGAUUACCCGCUGAACUUAAGCAUAUCCAAUAAGCGGAGGA